rnacentral:rRNA from 1 species
GCGCAAGCCUGAUCCAGCAAUGCCGCGUGCAGGAUGAAGGCCUUCGGGUUGUAAACUGCUUUUGUACGGAACGAAAAGCCCUGGGUUAAUACCCUGGGGUCAUGACGGUACCGUAAGAAUAAGCACCGGCUAACUACGUGCCAGCAGCCGCGGUAAUACGUAGGGUGCGAGCGUUAAUCGGAAUUACUGGGCGUAAAGCGUGCGCAGGCGGUUUUGUAAGACAGAGGUGAAAUCCCCGGGCUCAACCUGGGAACUGCCUUUGUGACUGCAAGGCUAGAGUACGGCAGAGGGGGAUGGAAUUCCGCGUGUAGCAGUGAAAUGCGUAGAUAUGCGGAGGAACACCGAUGGCGAAGGCAAUCCCCUGGGCCUGUACUGACGCUCAUGCACGAAAGCGUGGGGAGCAAACAGGAUUAGAUACCCUGGUAGUCCACGCCCUAAACGAUGUCAACUGGUUGUUGGGUCUUAACUGACUCAGUAACGAAGCUAACGCGUGAAGUUGACCGCCUGGGGAGUACGGCC